GUUUUUGCUGCACAUUGAAAGUUGACUGAAUUGGAAACCUCUGAUGGCCAACCUGUUCCUUUGACAUCAAUGCUGUAAUCCAUGCUUCUCCUCCAACCUCCUUUUCUGACCACUCAAGCACAUUGAAAGCAGCAAUCAGGAUUCCUGAGUUAUGACAAAUCUUUCUUCCAUGACAUGAUGGAUUCUUGUAUUCUAUUCUUCGUAUGCAACUUGAUCAUGUAACAGGAACACCAUAAGAAGGAAACACAAACAUAGGCACAGGAGUGGCUGUGUGGUAAUAUAGAGAUGGAUCUCUCCAGAGAGAUGAUGGAUAAAUAGAUAGACAGAUCAAUAGACAUACAUUCCUACCUACCUAAACUCACCUGCUCACCUACCUACAUGUGUGGGUAAGUAUAUCUUUCACUAUAUCCUUCUAUAGUUCCUCUUUCUGUCUCCCAUUCUAUUGAUCUGCUCAUCAAUCAAACAUUGAGAUCCAAGCAACUACUGACAAAUUGCUUAAGGUAGAAGUAUAUGAUAAGUAAAUAUUUUCAAUAUCCUCUAAUUGUGUCUCAAAUCUAGCAAUCAUUGUAGUUCUUGAAGAAUGGCGAAUAACAUUUUUCAUUUUUAAUAAUCAAGUCAUUUGAAAGGAAUAGUUCAUAUGAAAAGAAUCACUCUUUACAGCAUAAAAGUCUUAAGUUUGUGUUGUUGACAUGGCCAGGUUAAAUCAUUACAGACUUCACAAUUAACAAACCCUAUACUUCAUCAUUAUCAUCAUCACUUAACGUCUGUUUUCCGUGUAAGCAUGGGUUGGAUGGUUUGACAGGGGAUGGCAGUCCAAAGGACCAUGUCAAGCUCUAUUGUCUGUUCAGGAAUGGCUUCUACAGCUGGAUGCCCUUCCAAAAGUCAAUCACUUUACAGAAAGUACUGGGUGCAUUUUUCAUGGUACCUGCAUUGAUGGGGUCACCAAGUACCUUGUCAGUCAAGACAAAGUCCCCAUGAUUGGAGGGAGUAAUUGAGGUAGAUGGCUUUGUGCCUAUUGAUGAGAGAUUUAAAGAAUAGAGGGAUAGAGAGAGGUGUCUCUUUAGGUGUAAAAGGGAUACAGAGAUACCCUAGUUGGAGAAGGGAGUGAGAGACUUCGAGAAAAAGAUAGAGAUAGAAAGAAUGAGAGAGAUGGUGGUGGAUAUAUGUUAGGACAUAUCUUCAAGGUAUAGUGGUGGUGGUGGUGGGGGGGUGAACAGAGGUGAAGUGGUACAGAGGGGCGAGUUUCAUAGGGAUGUGAGAAGAGAUGGUUAGAUGGGAUAAAGGUGACUGUAGUGGUUGAUGGUAAGAGAUAUAAAAGUGGCCCAAGGGGAAGAUAAUGGGGAAUAAAAGAGUGGAAAGAAAGAGGAAGGCAGGAAAAGGAGAGAAUGUACUAUGUGCUGAUUCUGCUCUCAGAGGAUUAUGGUAGCCGAAGAAGUGAUGAGUGUUAAGGAAUAAGAUGUGUGUGUGUGUGUGGGUGGGAAGCUUGAUGGGUCAGUGAGAAUAGAGGUGGGGCAGAGCUCUACAUAUAUUUACCAAGGUGGUUUUGGAUAUUAAUUCUGUUGUGGUGGACAGGUUUUCUAAAGCACAACAAUGUGCCAGGUAUCUUGGUCCUUUGUCAUGUCCUCCAUGAGACUCAGCAUCUUGAGAUCAGCUUUCAAUAUUUGUCCUCUGUUUUCCUGGUUCUUCUUCUGUCACAAUUUCCAUCCACUUCAAACGAUUAGCACUUCUUUAUGCAACAGUCCUCAUCCAAAUGCAUCACACGAUUGAACCAGUGCAAUCUUCUCUCUUGUAUAAUACAUCUAAUUCUUCUUAUGCCGAACUUCUCUCUACUCUCAUAUAUGUACACUGACACUGCACAUCCAAUGGAGCGUACUACCUUCGUUCCUCUCUAGUCUUCACUUAUCUUCUGCAUUUGGGACCCAUGUCUCACUACCAUGUAGCAUUGCUUUUUGUACUUAAGCAUCAUACAAUCUGCCUUUCAGUCAGAGAGAGAGAGAGAGAGAGAAAGACUUUUGGUUGCCAACAGGGGUAAGUGGUCUCUGAAUUUUUUCCAUCCUAUUCUUAUUCUAGCAAUUUCCCUUUUGCAACACCCUCCUCCACUACUUAUUAGGUCAUCUGAGUAGCAGAAGAUAUCUACAGCCUCUAACCUAUAUACUACUCAAAUCUUGAUAGACUUAUCCCUUCUAAUAAUAUAUGACAAUAGAACCUUUAAAAACUUAAAAUAUUAUUUCAGUAUCAGCUUGACAUAUUUUAAUCACUGGACUAAGGCCAUUCUUAUUCAUAUCAAUCUCUUCAGUACCUGACUGAUUUCAUUGCCCCCAGAAAAAUGGAAAGCAAAGACGAUCAGGGCAAAAUUUGAACCUGGAAUAUAAAGAGUGAGUUACCCGACACCAAAAAACAUUUUGUUUGAUACUUUGCCAUCUUCAGUCACAUCUGUACAUAUUCUCAUCUCAAAUUUUGAUAGUAAAGUUGCAAUUAUCUUAAUUACUCAUUAUACAACUUCUUAAGGAUUUAUCAGCCAGAGAAAUGGUGUAAUAUAUAUUGUAUGCUAAACUAACUUCAUCAAAUGUACCUAAUAAAUUAGAAGAUGUAACCUACAGCUCAUGAGCAAUUAGUGAAGCUUAGGUAUUCAAAAGAAAUAAAAAUGUUUUUAUUUUGCUACUCAGAAAUUUAAAUGUUCUGGGUCAGUUUCCUUAAGUUUGGGCUAAUAGUUUCAUGAGGUUUUCUAUAUUUUGAGAAAGCUUUUUCUGCAAUGGUAGGUUUACCAGUUAUUAGCUGCCGGAUAUAAAACAGGAAUGUGCUAUAAAAUGAAAGAAGAGAAGAAAUAUAGAAAAUAAAGGGACACCAGUUUGUUUAGUGUGUAAAUUAACCCAAUGAAUUUAUUUAGGUUUCAAUUAAUUCUUAAUAUAAUUAGAUCUGGAUGAGUAUGAUAAAAUGUCAGUAAUUUUGAAUAUUGAAGCUUACUGAAUUGGUGUUGUCUGACAGA